rnacentral:rRNA from 1 species
UUUAUUGGAGAGUUUGAUCCUGGCUCAGGAUGAACGCUGGCGGCGUGCCUAAUACAUGCAAGUCGAGCGAAUGGAUUAAGAGCUUGCUCUUAUGAAGUUAGCGGCGGACGGGUGAGUAACACGUGGGUAACCUGCCCAUAAGACUGGGAUAACUCCGGGAAACCGGGGCUAAUACCGGAUAACAUUUUGAACUGCAUGGUGCGAAAUUGAAAGGCGGCUUCGGCUGUCACUUAUGGAUGGACCCGCGUCUCAUUAGCUAGUUGGUGAGGUAAC